rnacentral:misc_RNA from 1 species
GAUGAAGAACGCAGCGAAAUGCGAUAAGUAAUGCGAAUUGCAGAAUUCAGCGAAUCAUCGAAUCUUUGAACGCACAUUGCGCCCGCUAGUAUUCUGGCGGGCAUGCCUGUCUGAGCGUCAUUUCAACCCUCGCCCCCGGCUUUUGCUGGGAGCGGUGUUGGGGAUCGGCCGCCCGUCACUGGGAGGCCGGCCCCGAAAUAGAGUGGCGACCACGCCGUGUGCUCCUCUGCGUAGUAGUAAAUCACCUCGCAGGCGGACAGCGGUGCGGCCUGCCGUAAAACCCCCAACUCUUUCUGGUUGACCUCAGAUCAGGUAGGAAUACCCGCUGAACUUAAGCAUAUCAAUAAGCGGAGGA